rnacentral:lncRNA from 1 species
AUUUCCUGAAAGCUUUGGACCAGUGCAAGAGGAAAGAUCAUUUCCAAAAGAACAUCUAUAUAAUCCCAUAGACUGAUUUUCUUUUUUUUUUGGGUCAAUGCAGCUUGUGAGUGUAAUCAUCCUUCCUUACGAGCUUCAACAACCUGUUGAAGUGAACCGUGCGGAACAAUUUAUGAAUAAGGUAUUUAGGAAUACGAAGAAGAUAGGUACUACAUUGAAAUACCAUAUUUUUCGGUAUAAAAACUUGGUACCUUUAGAUACUGGGUAACUAGAGAUAUCAAGCCUUUAUGCUAAAAAUUUAAUACAUUGAGUUGCU